rnacentral:rRNA from 1 species
CGCGUAGGCGGUUGCGUAAGUGCGGUGUGAAAGCCCCCCGGCUCAACCGGGGAAUUGCAUCGCAAACUGCGUGACUAGAGCACGAGAGGGGAAAGCAGAACUCCUGGUGGAGCGGUGGAAUGCGUAGAUAUCAGGAGGAAUGCCGAAGGUGAAGACAGCUUUCUGGCUCGUGGCUGACGCUGAGGUGCGAAAGCUAGGGUAGCGAACG